rnacentral:misc_RNA from 1 species
AUAUUUUUUGUUCCUUUUUCUUAUUGUGUUGUGUAUUUGUUUUUGAGUUCUCUUUGUGGAUUAGGGUUAAGGUUUGCAUAAAUUUUUAUUGGCAUUGCUAUGCUUUUGUGGGGUCUUCAAAUCAAAUCUAUAAAUCGAUGAUCUUUUGGGUUUUUGGAGCUGAUGAUUGGAUUUUUGUGUUGUAAAUUGAGUGUACUGUAGUCGAAUUUUAUUUUAUAAGUUGUAUUGAGUUGGAGUUUUCUUGAGAUACUGGUGAUGGGAAAUUGUAAUUAGAUUGCUUUGGAUGCUAGAACUGUAAAAAUUUAAGCUUUAAUAUAUUCAGGAGUUGAGUAUGAAAGCUCACUCCUGAAGUUGUGCUUUAGCUAGUAUUGCUUUUGUAUAUGGAAAUUUGUAGAAUUUUGCUAGUGUGUGGUAUUGAUUUGCUUCUUUUUAAAAUGUUAAUUUUGAAAUCUUUAGCGAAAAUUGUACGCGGACAUGUUGAAGUAAGU